rnacentral:misc_RNA from 1 species
GCUGCCGCUGCUUUGGCUGCUGCGUCAUACGCCCCAGAGCCGCCGGGACGGAGGGGCUGGGCCUGGGGACCCCCCGGCCUCCGCCUGCACGCCCCCCCACGCCCGGACGUGCCCUCUCCGCGCGGGGGACUCGCCUAGGUCUCCUACGUCUGCCCCUGCCCGGCUCCCGGCGGCCCCAGCUGUCACCGGCCCCCCCAGGAUGCAAUGGCGCAGCCCCCCCGGCUGAGCCGCUCUGGUGCCUCCUCACUUUGGGACCCAGCUUCUCCUGCUCCCACCUCUGGCCCCAGGCCUCGGCUUUGGGAGGGUCAAGAUGUGCUGGCCAGAUGGACUGAUGGGCUGCUAUACUUGGGUACCAUCAAAAAGGUGGACAGUGCUAGGGAGGUGUGUCUGGUCCAGUUUGAGGAUGAUUCGCAGUUUCUGGUUCUAUGGAAAGACAUUAGCCCUGCUGCCCUCCCUGGAGAGGAACUCCUCUGUUGUGUCUUUGCGAUCGCCACCAAGAGGGGAGGUGCCCUGAAGAAGGGCCCCUAUGCCCGGGCCAUGCUGGGUAUGAAGCUUUCUCUGCCAUAUGGACUGAAGGGGCUGGACUGGGAUGCUGGACAUCUGAGCAACCGACAGCAGAGUUACUGUUACUGUGGUGGCCCUGGGGAGUGAGUAAUGAGAGGGGAGCAGACUGUGGAAUGAAUGAUGUGGUGGUGGAUCCCAGGAAAUGAAGGAAAAAGAACAGGAUGAGGGUAGCACUCAGGGGGAUAGGAGGUAAGUUUAGGGUUUGGGACAGUUAUGGGGAAGGGGGUUUCUGGAGGCCAGAAGUCCUGUGUUCCCCCUCAGGUGGAACCUGAAAAUGCUGCAGUGCCGGAGCUGCCUGCAGUGGUUCCAUGAGGCCUGCACCCAGUGUCUGAGCAAGCCCCUCCUCUAUGGGGACAGGUUCUAUGAAUUUGAAUGCUGUGUGUGUCGCGGGGGCCCUGAGAAAGUCCGGAGACUACAGCUUCGCUGGGUGGAUGUGGCCCAUCUUGUCCUGUAUCACCUCAGUGUUUGCUGUAAGAAGAAAUACUUUGAUUUUGAUCGUGAGAUCCUCCCCUUCACUUCUGAGAAUUGGGACAGUUUGCUCCUGGGGGAGCUUUCAGACACCCCCAAAGGAGAACGUUCUUCCAAGCUCCUCUCUGCUCUUAACAGCCACAAGGACCGUUUCAUUUCAGGGAGAGAGAUUAAGAAGAGGAAAUGUUUGUUUGGUCUCCAUGCUCGGAUGCCUCCCCCUGUGGAGCCCCCUACUGGAGAUGGAGCACUCACCAGCUUCCCUUCAGGGCAGGGCCCUGGGGGAGGGGUCUCACGUCCCCUGGGGAAGCGCCGGAGGCCGGAGCCAGAGCCCCUGAGGAGGAGGCAGAAGGGGAAAGUGGAGGAGCUGGGGCCACCCUCAGCAGUGCGCAAUCAGCCCGAGCCCCAGGAGCAGAGGGAGCGGGCUCAUCUGCAGAGGGCACUGCAGGCCUCAGUGUCUCCACCAUCCCCCAGCCCUAACCAGAGUUACCAGGGCAGCAGCGGCUACAACUUCCGGCCCACAGAUGCCCGCUGCCUGCCCAGCAGCCCCAUCCGGAUGUUUGCUUCCUUCCACCCUUCUGCCAGCACCGCAGGGACCUCUGGGGACAGUGGACCCCCAGACAGGUCACCCCUGGAACUUCACAUUGGUUUCCCCACAGACAUCCCUAAAAGUGCCCCCCACUCGAUGACUGCCUCAUCUUCCUCAGUUUCAUCCCCAUCCCCAGGUCUUCCUAGACGCUCAGCACCCCCUUCUCCCCUGUGCCGUAGUUUGUCUCCUGGGACUGGGGGAGGAGUCCGAGGUGGGGUUGGUUACCUGUCCCGAGGGGACCCUGUCCGGGUCCUUGCUCGGAGAGUACGGCCUGAUGGCUCUGUGCAGUACCUGGUUGAGUGGGGAGGAGGGGGCAUCUUCUGAACAGCCUGCCUCUGCCCAGCUCCCCAUUCACACACACCGGCACUUUCAUACCCUGACCUCUGACCUCACCUACAGCUGGGAUGUACCUGGAGAGAUAGGGGGUAGUUCUCCCUACUGCCCAGGCUGGAAUCCAAGAGUGGGGAGUGGGGAAGAGGCCCUCUUCUCUACCCUCCUUCAUGAUUCCUGACCCCUCCCAUCCUUCCCAUUUCCUUUGAUGUUAUUUUGUUACAGCUUUUUAAAUAUUUUUUAAAAUUAUUUAACCCCUGGGGGCAGAGACUGAGGAGGGAGGAUGAUAAGGGAUCCCGGACUCUGUAUGAUUGAAAUAAAGAGAAAUAAACAAA